rnacentral:rRNA from 1 species
UACAGAGGUCUCAAGCGUUGUUCGGAUUCAUUGGGCGUAAAGAGCUCGUAGGCGGCUUGUCGCGUCGGCUGUGAAAUCCCGUGGCUCAACUGCGGGUCUGCAGCCGAUACGGGCAGGCUAGAGUUCGGUAGGGGAGACUGGAAUUCCUGGUGUAGCGGUGAAAUGCGCAGAUAUCAGGAGGAACACCGGUGGCGAAGGCGGGUCUCUGGGCCGAUACUGACGCUGAGGAGCGAAAGCGUGGGGAGCGAACAGG